GAAGUUAGGAGGUUGGAAGAAAAGAGAUGGAUGUCAGAUACUGAAUACACUCUAAAACUAGAACAAGGAGGCACAGUUUGGAAACCUUAUUUAUUUUCAUUAUACAACCCUCUCUCAGUCAUUUUCCUCCCUCUAAACUGCUUUUUUUUGGUAUUUCCUCCCUCAAAGUUGCCCACUCCACUCUCCCAAGGAAAAUAUUACAGGGCUGAAGUUCUGGACCCCGGACAGAAAAUGGUCCGUAAGGUGUUAGUUUUUUGAAAGUAGCUUGGUACUGCUUAGAUCUUUCAAGUUCAACUCUGCACCUCUGAGCCAGUUCCAUUCCGUUUUUUCAUUGCAUCCAAAGGUUCAAAUGUGAGUAUAAUCUAAUAUAGAAAAUUAAACAGUUAUAUCUCAUGUAAACGGCAUGUGCAUUAUCUCAUUUAUACAAAUAACCUUACAGCAAAAAACCAUUAAUAGAUACAACAUUUUAACAGCUAUUACUAACUUGGCUGUUUACUGAAGAAAAUGGAACCACAUGGAUUACUGUUUCUCUUGACAUAGGGUUGCAUUUCGUUGUACUGUACUCGUACUGUUCAAUAAUUGUGAAGUUGAAUCUAAUCUAAUCUAAUAUAGAGUUAUCUUAGUGAGGACCCAUUUAACAUCUAGUUGACAAAAAGUGGAUUUAUCGGUAGAAAAUCAAAUACGUUUGAACAUAGAAUGCCUCAAUGGCUGUGUUUAGACAUGCAGCCAAAUUCGGAUCUAUUUUUUAAUAACAGCUUUAUUUUGGACUUCGUCGUUGUGCUACCCUGUGAACCCUUUCAUUCCAUUACGUAGCUUUAUUCACUCUUUCUUUCCAUGCUGUCUCAAUUUCAUAAUCAUUCUUCCUUCUCCGUGUGGAGACUGAUGUUCUACAGCAGCUGUCCUCAUAGAUAUCUGUAAAACCUCAUCAUCAUAAACGUCCAUUCAUUCACCCACUCCUCUUCUUACUACUCCUUCCAUCUCUCCAUCACUCACUCCAGGUCUCUGCGUUUCCUAUAAAUUACCCUUCAUUUCCCACUGAUCUCUUACUUUCCAGUCAACUAUGGAAGCCUCCCAUCAGCCUCAUUAUAUGCUGUUCUCCAGCUACCAGGCCUUCCAAAACGGGCAACUAAAACCUUAGGUUCAACCACAAAUCCCAGAAGCCUCAGUGCAAAAUAAAAUCUGAAUUGAUGAUCUAAGGAUGGGGGAAAAAAACAUCCCAAAAACUGUGAGGAGAGAAACAUUCUGUUAAAUAUAUGUUUUCCUUCUCCUGGGGCACACCACCCUAAUUGCACCUAAGUUUUUGCUGUAAAUAAGAAUGUGAAAAUUGAAGUGAAAAGCUGUGGAGAAAUCUGAAAACAUCAGCCUCAGAGGAAACUUUCAAAUCUUGGAAAACUGGAGCAGUUCCAAUGAGAAGUGUUCCAAACUGACAGUAAAGAUGUUCAGAAGCUCAUCCAUGGCUAUAGGAAGCAUUCGAUUGCAGAUAUUUUGGCCAAAAGCUGUGCAACCAAAUAUCAAGUCAUUUUGUUAUUGCCAUUUCUGUUCGUUCUCUGAUUUAAAGUGAUAUAUUUGUUUCUGAAACAAAAGUUAUAAUAUGUCAUAUUAACAGUUAAAUAUAGAAUUAUGGAAACCAAAUAGUUUGGUCGAUAUCAAUGUCUUUUUUCAAGAAUUAUAUUUGAAGAAAGUGUAAUGGUAUGAAUCAUGGUAUGCCCAUGACUAUAUAUUCAAGGAGUGUAACAAUACCAAUUCCCCACACUGCCAGAGCAAAAUAAAUUGCUGUGGUGAAAAGUCCAUAAUUAUUCACACUUUUAAACAGACACUAGAGGGGUUAGCUUUUCAUAGGGACAUUUUCAUUAGAUUUUGAUAUUCACUUUGACAAAUUUUUUAAUGUAAGUGGCUCACUGUUAUAUUCAGCCUUGACUGUGCUUUCAUUGGAGUUGAGCACAAAACAUAUAUUUAUAAAUAUAGGUAUUGUCACCGUUAAUGCAUUUUUGUGCGUUAAUGCAUUUUUGAGCGUCCCAUGCGCAGCUUUCAUGCAGAAGAAUGUAAAUUGUCUGCCAGUAUUUUCUUAUAACAUUCUGCAUUCAUCUUGCCAUCAAUUUUCACAAGAUUCUCUGUGCCUUUAGAGCUCACACACCCCCAAAACAUCAGUGAGUCACCACCAUGCAUCACAGUGGGGAUGGUAUUCUGUUCACUGUAGGCCUUGUUGAAACCUCUCCAAACAUAGCGCUUAUGGUUGUGAUCAUAAAGUUUUAUUUUGGUCUCGUCACUCUAAAUUACAGUGUGCCAGAAGCUGUGAGGCGUGUCAAGGUGUUGUCAGGCAUAUUGUAAGCGGCCUUUUUGUGGCAUUGGCGCAGUAAAGGCUUCUUUCUGGCAACGCGACCAUGCAGCUCAUUUUUUGUUCAAGAAUCAUCGUAUUGUGCUCCUUGAAACAACCACACCUACUAUUUCCAGAGCUGCCUGUAUUUCUCCUGAGGUUAUCUGUGGGUUUUUCUUUGUAUCCCGAACAAUUCUCAACAAUUCUCAACAAUCCCAAAUUUUCCACUUCUUAAUAAGUGAUUGAACAGUACUGACUGGCAUUUGCAAGGCUUGGAUAUAUUUUUAUAUUCUUUUCCAUCUUUAUAAAGUUCCAUUACCUUGUUACGCAGGUCUUUUGACAGUUCUUUUCUGCUCCCCAUAGCUCAGUAUCUAGCCUGCUCAGUGCAUCAAUAUGAGAACUAACAAACUCAUUGACUAUUUAUACACAGACACUAUUUGCAAUUAAAAAAGCCACAGGUGUGGGAAAUUCACCUUUAAUUGCCAUUUCACCUGUGUGUAUAACCUUGUGUGUCUGUAACAAGGCCAAACAUUCAAGGGUAUGUAAACUUUUGAUCAGGGCCAUUUGGGUGAUUUCUGUUAUCAUUAUGAUUUAAAAAGGAGUCAAACAACUUUGUGAUAAUAAAUGGCUUCAUAUGAUCACUAUCCUUAAAUCCUUACAGUUUCUUUGCAUGAUUAAUCAUAUUUUCAAAAUCAAUGCCAAAAUUUACAAUUUGUGCCAGGGUAUGCAAACUUAUGAGCACAACUGUAGAAUAUAAUGCAUUUCUUUAAAUACAUUUGUUAAAAUAAUGUAUCUUCGUGCAGUAUCCAGAUAUGUAGAAUUUUCUCUCUGCUUUGUGAUAAAAUGAAUAAACAUGCAUGAAAAAUAAGAUUAACUAUAAGAACAAAUUUGCAGAAAACAUACUUAAACUGCAAAAUGUUUACCACUCCCAUAUUACCUGGCAAGCAUAUGUAGAAAAGAAAUGUAUUUUCAUUCUUAUUUGUUCAUUAUCCUAUUAGAAGGGAUUUGUACUCUGUAUGUCUGAUCAAUUACACAUAUGCUGAAAAACUAGUCUCUCUCUCUGUCUCCAACUUAUAAGGCCAGUAUCUUGUGUUCAGGGGCAGUGAUGAAUGGAAUGUCGGCACAUGUGUGAGUUUAAUUUGACUUGUCCAUGAGUUCUACAUGUGCCAGUAUAAUAUAACGUGUAAUUACUAUUGAAUACUAAUUUUUGUGUCAUUAUUUAUAAUGUUGAGCUGAGCACCAUUGAAACAUAUCCCAUGAAGUGUGUGAAUGGGAAGGGGGGGGUAACAAAUUAACUAUGUGAUCAUGUGUCAUCUGACACCAUGAGGAGAAGACAGAGGCAGCCUGGGAACAGCAGAUCAGUUUCACACCAGAAGACUCUGGUUCAGAGACUGUGGUGAUUUUGACUGUGUUACACACGCACACACGUACGUUCACACACACGCACACACGUGCACACAUUGGCCUGGGAGCAGUCACAACUGCUUAAAAUGAUCGAUUCCCCCCACAAAGUCGUUGCCUAUUGAGCGUUGAAUAUAGGUUUAUCUUUUCAACUGAUUUGCUUUGAUAGCCUCAGAAUGAUCCUGUUGUUAACUCUGUUGAGGUUCAGCCCAAACUUGAGUGGGUUCUGAGCAGGAUUCACGCCAGCCAGCCAACAAGCUGGCCUGAUGAAGAGGACAGCUGGAGCUCAGCACAAAAGUCACAUCCAAAAGAAAAGCUUAGAAUUCUGUCAACAAGUGUUAAAUAUUUUUCUGGGGACCCACCACAAAAUGGUGGAAUGAGGGACUCGACGGAGGCAGAGAGAAUAAAAGACGAGAGAAACAAGAAGAGCCAAAAGACAUGCAUAAAAAGAGGAUGAACGGACAUGGAAAUGUGGAAGGCAGCAGAUGAAGAGAGAGCAGAGAGGAGGAGAGCCCUUGGGUAUGUCUGGAAGGAGGAAAGAGAGGGAUGUAGAGGGGAAGGAGGGCCAGUAAAACAGGAGUAGAAGUCUUUCAGACAGAAAAAAUUCUCCUCAGGAAAUUACUUUCACACAGAUUUUAUAGUGUGCCAAGAAACAUUUAACUCUUUUCACAAUCUUCAACCCUUUUUUUCAGUAGGGUACAGUAUAUGGCUUAAGAGCCAACAGAAAAAACGUACUUAAUUGUAAGAAAUGCCUUUUUUGUUAGUUGAUUUAGG
rnacentral:lncRNA from 1 species